rnacentral:misc_RNA from 1 species
AGGAUCCUGAGCGACCGACUUCACACCAAAAUUGGUGCAAGACUUGGUUAACAGGGGAACAAUUUGUAUCAGCAAUAAAUUUGAGCAUCAACUUAUGGGGAUGGGUUCUGAGGUUCUUGAUGGCUUAAGUGUAGUGUUUAGAGGCUCACCAUGUUUUCUGCCAUCAAUUUUAAAGUGGGAACAAACUCCUUAUGGAGUCUGAUUUGUUUUAACACAAUAUAAAGGAGAAAUAAUUAUGCAGGGCAGGCUCCUGGAGACUUCGGGAUUUCAGGUUGCUGCAGCAGCAUGAAUAUUCAGCCACUGAAGCAAGCCUUACACAUGCAUGGACAAAUCAAUAUGUUAUGACCCCUCUAAGCAUUACGUUAGAAUAUAAAUCCAAUUCCAUUGUGCCAUGAUUUGGACACUAUGCCCAUCUGCUCAUUCCUUUGCUACUAUCAUCCUCAUGGUACCAAGCAACUUAAUCAAUAUUCUCAUAAUUACAGAGUUUUUACUUCAGUAAAUAAUAUACAAUUGCCAAGUGU